AACUGAUGAUGUUAUAUACAUUCAUCUCAGUUACAGGAAGUACGCACUAGGCGGAAGUCCAUGCGUUCCACCAUGAUCUAGGUGGAACGCAGGACGAAAGCCUGCUAUUUAAGUUGUUAUAUGAACAUUAAGGUCAUUUUUUAAGACCUAUAUGGAUGACAAUUUCAUGCUGUACAGAGCAUAGGGUAGAUUUCCCAUGCUACACCUUGGAUAUACACUUAUUUAGAUCUAUUCGAUCAACCAAUCAUUAGAGCAUAGGAAGUGAGGUAAUUCACUCCUAGGUAUAAAUAGGCCAGAUAUAGCCUCUCCAGUUCACUUACCAUCCAGGAGAGGAGGCUGACACACAUCCAGAACCUUUUAGUCUGCUUUCCUCACUGGACAUUUUGUUUGGUGUUAUUGGCUUGACUUUAAAAUCCCUUGUGAACUUUCAUUAAUCUUGGAGGACACAAUCUAAUUGGUCAUUUGCCCCAUAAUUAAAUAAAGUACCUACAAGGAACCACAAUUAAGGAGCAGCUGAUUAGAAGUUCACGAGAGUUUUUAGUAUCAUUAUAGAUAUAUAUCACGUUUUAACACUCUUCACAGUGAGAUCAUCUUGUAGGAAAUUUGCUAAAGCAUUAUUCCAGUAAGUAUGAUAUUAUAUACCUAAGAAUAGAUUUGAGAAUAUCCCUCUUUCCUCAACAUCUAGUUCUCUUGAUUGUAAAGAUACGUUUAUCAACUUUAAUGUCACACCAUGAGGUAUUUCCCAUAUCCCUCUUGUUUUUUGAUAUAUUGUGAAAUGAA